UACGAAGGGGGCGAGCGCUGUUCGGAAUCACUGGGCGUAAAGAGUGCGUAGGCGGUUAUGAAAGUUAGGAGUGAAAGCCCAGGGCUUAACCUUGGAAUUGCUCUUAAUACUACAUAACUCGAAUUCGGGAGAGGAUAGCGGAAUUGUCAGUGUAGCAGUGAAAUGCGUAGAUAUUGACAGGAACACCAGUGGCGUAAGCGGCUAUCUGGACCGACAUUGACGCUGAGGCACGAAAGCGUGGGGAUCAAACAGG
rnacentral:rRNA from 1 species